rnacentral:sRNA from 1 species
AUUUAUUUCUUAAUUAUAGGGCUUAUUGGAUCUAAAGACGGAUCAUCAAAGAUUUUCUAAACUGAAGCAAAAUAUAGUGAAUAUUCAAAUAUCUAUCUGUUACUAAAUGAUAAACAAAUAAGUUAAUAAGUCAAUAACUAUUUAGAGUGACGGGUUUUUGAAUCAACAUUAAUAAAAAAAAGUAAAAUAUAAUUAAUCCACCGUUUCAAUACGAGUUAAAUCAUUAAUUUAUUAAACAUAUCAAAUCAAUAAUAUUUUUAAAAU